UCUAACAAUUUCAUUUCAAAAGCAUUCAAAAUCUUUUUACUAACAAUGCCACUACAAUCCAACAAUUACAUAGGCAUUAUGUCAUAACACUUAGCUAUAAUGUACCAAAUUUCUCAAUGAUAUCCAAAAAUACAAUAAAAUUAUUUACGCAUGUGCUAUGCUCAACAGGUCCAUCAAUGAUCCCUUUUUAAGUAUUAUCCUGGAACUACCUACAAAAUAUACGAAUUGUAGUCUCUCAAUAGAAAUAAUUGUUAUUCAUGUAAGUAAUAGCAAGAAGAAAAAAAGCAACUAGUAAUAUGCCAUGCACACACCUACUACCAGAACAAAUUUCAUAUACUAGUUGUUUAAGCACAUAUUAACAAAUAACAUAAAUUGCAUAUGAAGACCUUAUUAUCGAGCACAGAUGAGCUAUGAUGUGGCCUGCUUCCAUGUAGGUAAUAUGUUCAAAGUCCAUAUCUGAUGCACUACUGUUUCUAUAGAAGAAGAAAAAACAGUAAGUAAGAAAUAUAUCUCAAGUCAAAAGACUUACCUCCUAAGACCUAAUUCUGCCAGUUAAGACUGUCAAGUAUUUUUUUAUGAAGGACUUUUAAAGUGGUACCCUACCAAGUUAUCCAACCAACCCCUAAAACAAAACUUUGUACAAAAAAAUUUUCUUCAGAAACUUGCAAAUAUAAAGUACAACCUACAUUGAAAUUAAAGCACAUAGUACAUAAUGCGAAUAGCUGAAAACAUAUUAUUGGUCUUUACCUCCAGAGCACUGAUAACCACUUUAAUAAUUAACUGUUUUGGUCCAUCAAGCUUUACUCCAAAGUACUUAUCCAAUACAUUCCUAAAAGC
rnacentral:lncRNA from 1 species